rnacentral:rRNA from 1 species
GCAUCGAUGAAGAACGCAGCGAAAUGCGAUAAGUAAUAUGAAUUGCAGAUUUUCGUGAAUCAUCGAAUCUUUGAACGCACAUUGCGCCCGCCAGAAUUCUGGCGGGCAUGCCUGUUCGAGCGUCAUUUCAACCCUCGAGCUCCCCUUUCGGGGGGAGCCCGGCGUUGGGGACCCGGCGCUAACAACGCCGGCCCCGAAAUGGAGUGGCGGCCCGUCCGCGGCGACCUCUGCGUAGUAACAACCACUCGCACCGGGACCCGGGCGCGGCCACGCCGUAAAACACCCCACCUUCCGAAUGUUGACCUCGAAUCAGGUAGGAAUACCCGCUGAACUUAAGCAUAUCAAUAAGCGGAGGA